GGGAGUAAAAGUGUUGCAUGAAUAUGACAAAACGAAGACAUUGACGGAUGGUACCCGGCGACAUAUGAUAAACCUACUGGUGGCUGACAUGAUUGAAGUUCAUGGGAGGAUCCCACCAACCUAUGUGCGAACAAAAUACGCUCUUGGCACUACCACUCUAUUUCCUUACCUGGGGGAUCCUUAAUCAACAAAUGGAUAUGAGCACUUCUAUGAUGCUGACAGUGGAUCUGGU